GGCUCAGGAUGAACGCGGCGGGCGUGCUUAAUACAUGCAAGUCGAACGGUCGACUUCGGUCGAUAGUGGCGAACGGGUGAGUAACGCGUUGGUGACCUGCCCCGAAGCGGGGGAUAACAGACCGAAAGGUCUGCUAAUACCGCAUAAUCUGGUGGAAGAUUAGAAGUCUGCCAGGGAAGCCGGACGUCUCGUAAGAGACGCUGGCGCUUUGGGAGGGGCCUGCGACCCAUCAGCUAGUUGGUAAGGUAACGGCUUACCAAGGCGAUGACGGGUAGGGGACCUGAGAGGGUGACCCCCCACAAUGGAACUGAAACACGGUCCAUACACCUACGGGUGGCAGCAGUAGGGGAUAUUGGUGAAUGGGCGCAAGCCUGAACCAGCAACGCCGCGUGUGCGAUGAAGGCCUUCGGGUUGUAAAGCACUUUUUGCCGGGAAGAGGAAGGACGGUACCGGUAGAAUCAGCCUCGGCUAACUACGUGCCAGCAGCCGCGGUAAAACGUAGGAGGCGAGCGUUAUCCGGAUUUACUGGGUGUAAAGCGCGUGCAGGCGGCAUGGUAAGUUGGGUGUGAAAGCUUCCGGCUCAACUGGGAGAGGUUGCUCAAGACUGCCAAGCUAGAGAGUGGUAAGGGAAGGCGGAAUUCCGGGUGUAGUGGUGAAAUGCGUAGAUAUCCGGAGGAACACCAGUGGCGAAAGCGGCCUUCUGGGCCACGACUGACGCUCAGACGCGAAAGCCAGGGGAGCAAACGGGAUUAGAGACCCCGGUAGUCCUGGCUGUAAACGAUGUGAACUUGGCGGCGGGAGGGUAAAACCUUUCGGUGCCGAAGCAAACGCGAUAAGUUCACCACCUGGGGACUACGGC
rnacentral:rRNA from 1 species